AACGCGAAGAACCUUACCUGGGUUUGACAUGGAUCGGGAGUGCUCAGAGAUGGGUGUGCCUCUUUUGGGGUCGGUUCACAGGUGGUGCAUGGCUGUCGUCAGCUCGUGUCGUGAGAUGUUGGGUUAAGUCCCGCAACGAGCGCAACCCUUGUUCACUGUUGCCAGCACGUUAUGGUGGGGACUCAGUGGAGACCGCCAGGGUCAACUCGGAGGAAGGUGGGGAUGACGUCAAGUCAUCAUGCCCCUUAUGUCCAGGGCUUCACGCAUGCUACAAUGGCUGGUACAGAGAGUGGCGAGCCUGUGAGGGUGAGCGAAUCUCGGAAACCGGUCUCAGUUCGGAUGGGGGUCUGCAACUCGACCUCAUGAAGUCGGAGUCGCUAAUAAUCGCAGAUCAGCACGC
rnacentral:rRNA from 1 species